rnacentral:lncRNA from 1 species
CAAUUUAAAAUUUCUUUUAUUGACCUAACAGCAGUACAAACAUCUGUAUAACAAUUAACAAGUCACAACAUUGUAAAGAAUAUAAAUAAAUGUUCAAUAUUAUGUCAUCUCAAAACAAAGGUAUUACUGUAGUUUCAUAACAUGGAAAAUAUCCAUAAUUGAUAGAAAUAGACUAUGUAAAUGAGUCAAAAUCUCCCUGCCACCUUUUGUCAAUGUUUGGUCCUGUAAUGGCCAUGGGAUAUCAUGAGCCAAAAUUCCAGAUAAAAUCAGAAUAGUUAGAUAUGCACCCACAGAAGUUUUGACAUACACCAUAAGAAUCAAAUAUUUGUUUUGAAUAGUCAUAAAAUCUGGUAGAUUGGUUGCCACUUAAAAUAAGUCAGAAAGAAGUGUUUUUAAGCUUUUUGAAGUUAUCAAUUUUUGAAUUUUCAGCUUGUAACAUUUUCGACCCAUUUUUAAACAAAUAAAAUGAUAGAUUUCUAUAUCAUAUAUAUUGUCCUUGAAUUUCUUUUACAGUUUUCAUACUACUGACUUAGGUAGUCAUGCAGUUAUUUUAAACAUAAUCUCAUAUGAAAUAGUAAACAAUACAACAAUCUUAAUAAACAUGAUAAAGAUAUUAAUAAUAAAGAAAUAAUACAGAAAUAUUUUUUGUAUAAUAAUAAAUAAGAUUGUAUAUAAAUGUAUACAACAAAACUUUAAAACAAUGGAAUUACAUCACACACAAAAAUAGUUCAUUAGGCAGAGACACAUCACAGAUAGACGAGGAAUUCAAAAGAUCAGUCAUUUGUUCAAAUAUUUUAACAUAGAAAAAAAA